UCAUUGGUGGUUCAGUGGUAGAAUUCCUGUCCUCUAUGUAGGAGACCCGGGUUCAAUUCCUGGCCUAUAUC
rnacentral:tRNA from 1 species